AUUAUAAGGUCCUUGCCCACAGCAUGCAACCUUGGAUGUCACAAAUCCAUAUGCUUGAGGGUUGGUAACGAAAUCCAGGCUCAUUUCAUUUGCAUUUACAGCUAUAAAAAUGUCCGAUCCAAUUUCACGAUUCAGUCUAUUUAACAUUUGUACAAGCUGCGGGUUGAACAAGCCGGUUGCUCUCUGCAAUUCGAUGGAGCAUUCUCCGUUUCUGCCCCUCAUAGCUCUCUCCGCCGGAACACAGCCUAAAGGUCCCGUGCCGGUCACUAAAACUCUGCGUGCACCCAGCUCGUAUACCCUAGUUAGAAUUUUUCGGUACUCGGAGAUGAGAUAGACCACAUAAUUUGGUAAGGAAAAUUGGCGAGAUCUAGCAGAGAA
rnacentral:misc_RNA from 1 species